rnacentral:rRNA from 1 species
AUAAAUCAAAACUUUCAACAACGGAUCUCUUGGCUCUGGCAUCGAUGAAGAACGCAGCGAAAUGCGAUAAGUAAUGUGAAUUGCAGAAUUCAGUGAAUCAUCGAAUCUUUGAACGCACAUUGCGCCCGCCAGUAUUCUGGCGGGCAUGCCUGUUCGA